GAUGAACGCUGGCGGCGUGCCUAAUACAUGCAAGUCGAACGAAACUUCUUUAUCACCGAGUGCUUGCACUCACCGAUAAAGAGUUGAGUGGCGAACGGGUGAGUAACACGUGGGCAACCUGCCCAAAAGAGGGGGAUAACACUUGGAAACAGGUGCUAAUACCGCAUAACCAUAGUUACCGCAUGGUAACUAUGUAAAAGGUGGCUAUACUACCGCUUUUGGAUGGGCCCGCGGCGCAUUAGCUAGUUGGUAGGGUAAAGGCUUACCAAGGCAAUGAUGCGUAGCCGAAUUGAGAGGUUGAUCGGCCACAUGUGGACUGAGACACGGCCCAAACUCCUACGGGAGGCAGCAGUAGGGAAUCUUCCACAAUGGGCGAAAGCCUGAUGGAGCAACGCCGCGUGGGUGAAGAAGGUCUUCGGAUCGUAAAACCCUGUUGUUAGAGAAGAAAGUGCGUGAGAGUAACUGUUCACGUUUCGACGGUAUCUAACCAGAAAGCCACGGCUAACUACGUG
rnacentral:rRNA from 1 species